CCUACGGGUGGCAGCAGUGAGGAAUAUUGGUCAAUGGGCUUACGCCUGAACCAGCCAAGUCGCGUGAGGGAAGACUGCCCUAUGGGUUGUAAACCUCUUUUGUCAGGGAGCAAUUGGCGCUACGUGUAGCGUGAUCGAGAGUACCUGAAGAAAAAGCAUCGGCUAACUCCGUGCCAGCAGCCGCGGUAAUACGGAGGAUGCGAGCGUUAUCCGGAUUUAUGGGGUUUAAAGGGUGCGUAGGCGGAAUGCCAAGUCAGCGGUAAAAUCGCGGGGCUCAACCUCGCUCCGCCGUUGAAACUGGCGUUCUUGAGUGGGCGAGAAGUAGGCGGAAUGCGUGGUGUAGCGGUGAAAUGCAUAGAUAUCACGCAGAACUCCGAUUGCGAAGGCAGCAUACCGGCGCCCAACUGACGCUGCCGCACGAAAGCGUGGGUAUCGAACAGGAUUAGAUACCCCGGUAGUC
rnacentral:rRNA from 1 species